GUAUGGAGCAAGCGUUAUCCGGAUUUACUGGGUGUAAAGGGAGCGUAGGCGGUAAGGCAAGUCUGAUGUGAAAGGCCAGGGCUCAACCCUGGGACUGCAUUGGAAACUGUUUAACUGGAGUGUCGGAGAGGCAAGUGGAAUUCCUAGUGUAGCGGUGAAAUGCGUAGAUAUUAGGAGGAACACCAGUGGCGAAGGCGGCUUGCUGGACGAUGACUGACGCUGAGGCUCGAAAGCGUGGGGAGCAAA
rnacentral:rRNA from 1 species